GUCUUUUAAAGAUAACUUUGGUUUAUUGAUUACAGAAAUCGAUAGUGAUUCAUGAAUAUCUUCUUUAAGUAAAUUUAUUAUUAAUAACAAUCUUCUAUUUGAUAAUACACCCCUAACUCUAAUCACCUCUCAGAUUUCCCCAAAUUGCACACUCCAUCUCCUUCUCCCUUCUCUCACUCUGCUCCAACUCCUCUGACUGACUGACUGACUGACUCUCUUCAGGCUCCGCCUCUUAUCACAUCUCUGUUGGCUCCACCUCUCAGCAUCAUGAAUAUCCAUGAACAAUUACCAUAACAAAACAAGAACCAUUGACAUAAUAAAGGGGAAUGCUACAGUCAUAUUGAGUAAAAGAAGGGUGGGGGUUAUCAUCUGGGGACAGUCCCUAGGGAAGUAUUAUAACUGGAAGAAUAGGAUAUUAUUUACUUCCCCUUCCCCCCAGCAUUGGCUGUUCAGCAUAAUUGAUCCAGAGGGUGAUGCUCCAAGUACAUUGAAGGUGGUGACAGCUAGAGGCGGACAUGCAGUGGUUCGAGAGCAGGAGUCAGGGCCAGUGGAGAUGAUAAUGUUGGAUGUGCAACAGGCUGGAAGGGUCCCCAGGGGGACUGAGAUGCAGAGUUGCAAUGUGGCAACUGACACCAAGCACAAUGGUGAGAGUAGUUCAUUGUACUGUGAGAGCAGCACAGCUAUAGCAGGUGAACUAGCUGUUGCACUGGACAUGAGUAAGGCAUCAACAUUUUGGCCUUGGUGUAGUGAUCCAGCCAUGAAUCAACUGGGAUGGGCACAAUCAGCAAUACAAGGACCAGGGGAAUUGGCAGGCCAGGUAGCCUUCUCAGGGAGGAAUAACAAUACAUGGAGGGCACCUUAUCCACAGGCAUCCUUUCCAGCCCCUUUUGGUACUUACAAUGGGUGUGGGUGUCUGGCCAUAUCCAUCAGUACCUGACACUGGAUAUAAUUCAAUCCCUUUGAGGGUUCUCCCAUUUGGAGACUAUGCCCUGCUGAUUGGAGACCACCUAACCCCUGCCAUGAAGGAGCAUAUUUAGAAAGUAGAGUAUAUAGAUGUUUUCGAUUUAUUGAAUUGUGAUGUAGAUGCCAAGUUUUUAGAGAAAGAGGAUGAGGUUGAGAAAGAAAGGCGGCAAUGCAAGAGGUCUGAGCGAACCUGGGCCAAUUGGUUACCAGGUUUUCUCAUAUACUCAGGAGUGAGAGUUAAGGCUCAGCCUUGGAGAGCAUUAUCUUCGUUGCAGUAUUAAUCUAUAGAGCAUAUACAGAUUCCCCGGGUUAGACCUGGCUCCUUUAUGAUCAGAAUUUCUGCAUGAGAGCAGCAAUGCAUCCAAACAUGAGAUGGGACGAGCCACAUCCUGGGCUUUGGCUUCAUACCAUGAUGCAAGCCCACCCAGGUGAUAGAUUUGACAGUGGUCAUUUGAUCUGAAAGGCAGCCCAGGCUAAUAUACCCCAUGUUACUCCAUGCUGGGAGUUCAGUUCGAAGGGAUCAUGCUCCAGGAAGGCACUGAAAUGGAGCCUCUUUGCCACCCCCCACUGGGAUGAGAUGAGAUGAGAAUCUCACUCUUCAUCCGGAGGACGGGGCUGGGGAGUGCAGUAUAUAGCUUUGUUUCCCCAGCCUCUGUUGAGGUUUUCUUCCCAGCUACCCACCUUUCAUCUAGUGUGAGUCUGACUGGUCACCUUUUUGGGGGCCGGAUAGGAAUUUUUUCCCUGAUAUCAAGAUGCUUAUGGUUAGCAGGGUUUUUUUUUUUUUUUGCCUACUUUGGUAUAAGUUUGUUGUUUUGAAGUGUUAGGAUUUGUUUAUUAGUCACACUGGCUGGUAGUGCAGAAACAACAAUGAUCGAUGAAUGCCCAGAGAAUACAAUGAAGGUGCUAGCCCAACUAACCUCACAGCACUGCAGAUCAUGAGGUUACAGUGAGUUUGGGCUUGGCCCUCUGUGCUA
ensembl:lncRNA